UGCGAGUCAUUGUAGCAAUACAAGGCAGACGGCUCAGUAACGCGUAGUCAAUCUACCCUAUGGACGGGAAUAACCUCGGGAAACUGAGAAUAAUGCCCGACAGAACAUUAUACCUGGAACGGUUUAUGUUUCAAAUGAUUUAUCGCCGUAGGAUGGGACUGCGGCCUAUCAGUUUGUUGGUGAGGUAAUGGCCCACCAAGACUAUUACAGGUACGGGCUCUGAGAGGAGUAGCCCGGAGAUGGGUACUGAGACACGGACCCAGGCCCUAUGGGGCGCAGCAGGCGAGAAAACUUUGCAAUGUGCGAAAGCACGACAAGGUUAAUCCGAGUGGUUUCUGCUAAAGAAACCUUCUGCUAGUCCUAGAAACACUAGUGAAUAAGGGGUGGGCAAGUUCUGGUGUCAGCCGCCGCGGUAAAACCAGCACCUCAAGUGGUCAGGAUGAUUAUUGGGCCUAAAGCAUCCGUAGCUCGUUUUGUAAGUUUUCGGUUAAAUCCAUACGCUUAACGUAUGGGCUGCCGGGAAUACUGCAUAACUAGGAAGUGGGAGAGGUAGACGGUACUCGGUAGGAAGGGGUAAAAUCCUUUGAUCUAUUGAUGACCAUCUGUGGCGAAGGCGGUCUACCAGAACACGUUCGACGGUGAGGGAUGAAAGCUGGGGGAGCAAACCGGAUUAGAUACCCGGGUAGUCCCAGCUGUAAACUAUGCAAACUCAGUGAUGCAUUGGCUUGUGGCCAAUGCAGUGCUGCAGGGAAGCCGUUAAGUUUGCCGCCUGGGAAGUACGUACGCAAGUAUGAAACUUAAAGGAAUUGGCGGGGGAGCACCACAAGGGGUGAAGCCUGCGGU
rnacentral:rRNA from 1 species